AGCUCGUGUCGUGAGAUGUGGGUAAGUCCCGCAACGAGCGCAACCCUAUUGCUAGUUACCAUCAUUAAGUUGGGGACUCUAGCGAGACUGCCAGUGAUAAACUGGAGGAAGGUGGGGAUGAUGUCAAAUCAUCAUGCCCCUUAUGACCUGGGCUACAAACGUGAUACAAUGGCUGGAACAAAGGGAUGCGAAGCAGUGAUGUGGAGCGAAACCCAUAAAAACAGUCUCAGUUCGGAUUGAAGUCUGCAACUCGACUUCAUGAAGUCGGAAUCGCUAGUAAUCGCGGAUCAGAACGCCGCGGUGAAUACGUUCUCGGGGUUU
rnacentral:rRNA from 1 species